rnacentral:rRNA from 1 species
AAGUGGGGAUGACGUCAAGUCCUCAUGGCCUUUAUGUCUAGGGCUACACACGUACUACAAUGGACCGGUACAAAGGGCAGCCACUCAGCGAUGAGGCGCUAAUCCCAUAAAGCCGGUCUCAGUCCGGAUCGCAGUCUGCAACUCGACUCCAUGAAGUUGGAAUCGCUAGUAAUCGCGGAUCAGUACGCCGCGGUGAAUACGUUCCCGGGCCUU